GUCCGGGUGGCUCAGUCAGUUGGGCAUCCGACUUCAGCUCGGGUCAUCAUUUCACAGUUCGUGGGUUCGAGCCCCACGUCGGGCU
rnacentral:tRNA from 1 species